AGUGGGUCGGGGGCUUGGCCUCUGCCCGGCCACAGAGCCGGAGCUGGAGGUGCUGUACCGUCCGGCGGCGAUACCCGGGCAGGGCCCGGGGCCGGGGUUUGAAGAUGCUGAACGUCCCUUCUCAGUCUUUCCCGGCCCCCAGGUCGCAGCAGCGUGUCGCCUCCGGGGGGCGUAGCAAGGUACCUUUAAAACAGGGCAGAAGCCUUAUGGAUUGGAUUCGACUGACCAAAAGUGGAAAGGAUCUAACGGGAUUAAAAGGCAGGUUAAUUGAAGUAACUGAAGAAGAACUUAAGAAACACAACAAAAAAGAUGAUUGUUGGAUAUGCAUAAGAGGUUUCGUUUAUAAUGUCAGCCCUUAUAUGGAGUAUCAUCCUGGUGGAGAAGAUGAACUAAUGAGAGCAGCAGGAUCAGAUGGUACUGAACUUUUUGAUCAGGUUCAUCGUUGGGUCAAUUAUGAAUCCAUGCUGAAAGAAUGCCUGGUUGGCAGAAUGGCCAUUAAACCUGCUGUUCUGAAAGACUAUCGUGAGGAGGAAAAGAAAGUCUUAAAUGGCAUGCUUCCCAAGAGCCAAGUGACAGAUACACUUGCCAAGGAAGGUCCUAGUUAUCCAAGCUAUGAUUGGUUCCAAACAGACUCUUUAGUCACUAUUGCCAUAUAUACUAAACAGAAGGAUAUCAAUUUAGACUCAAUAAUAGUUGAUCAUCAGAAUGAUUCCUUUAGAGCAGAAACAAUUAUUAAGGAUUGUUUACAUCUUAUACAUAUUGGGCUAAGCCAUGAAGUUCAGGAAGAUUUUUCUGUGCGGGUUGUUGAGAGUGUGGGAAAAAUAGAGAUUGUUCUAAAAAAAAAAGAGAAUAUUUCUUGGGACUUUCUUGGCCAUCCCCUGAAGAAUCAUAAUUCACUUAUUCCAAGGAAAGAUACAGGUUUGUACUACAGAAAGUGCCAGUUAAUUUCCAAGGAAGAUGUUACUCAUGAUACGAGGCUUUUCUGUUUGAUGCUGCCACCAAGCACUCAUCUUCAAGUGCCCAUUGGGCAACAUGUUUACCUCAAGCUACCUAAUACAGGUACAGGAAUAGUAAAGCCAUAUACACCUGUAUCUGGUUCCUUACUCUCAGAGUUCAAGGAACCAGUUCUUCCCAACAAUAAAUACAUCUACUUUUUGAUAAAAAUCUAUCCCACUGGACUCUUCACACCAGAGCUUGAUCGUCUUCAGAUUGGAGAUUUUGUUUCUGUAAGCAGUCCUGAGGGCAAUUUUAAAAUAUCCAAGUUCCAAGAAUUAGAAGAUCUCUUUUUGUUGGCAGCUGGAACAGGCUUCACACCAAUGGUUAAAAUACUGAAUUAUGCUUUGACUGAUAUACCCAGUCUCAGGAAAGUGAAGCUGAUGUUCUUCAAUAAAACAGAAGAUGAUAUAAUUUGGAGAAGCCAAUUGGAGAAAUUAGCAUUUAAAGAUAAAAGACUGGAUGUUGAAUUUGUUCUCUCAGCACCUAUUUCUGAAUGGAAUGGCAAACAGGGACAUAUUUCACCAGCUCUUCUUUCUGAAUUUUUGAAAAGAAAUUUGGACAAAUCCAAAGUUCUCGUCUGCAUUUGUGGACCAGUGCCAUUUACAGAACAAGGAGUAAGGUUGCUGCAUGAUCUCAACUUUUCCAAAAAUGAGAUCCAUAGUUUUACAGCAUAAUGAAGAGCUGUCAUUGUCCUUUAUUCAACUAGUUUAUCUAAACUUGUGAUUGCUUAGGGUUUUUUGAGAGAACAUUUUUGUACAUAACAAAAGGUUAACUAGAAUCCAGCCUUCAGUUUCUUAAAUGAAAUCAAAUGUUCCUUCAGUACAGACGCCCAGCUUGUGAAGCUUCCUAUGUGCAAAUGGCUUGUUGAACACUAUCACUUUUUCCUGUGCCUCUGUCUUCUGUAGCCAAUUCCACCAUCAUCAUUAUUCACAAAGACAGGAAUCUAGCUGUCCUGGACUGGUACUGUUCCCUGCUUCUGAAAACUUCACAAGCACUGAAAAUCCUAGAAUAUGAUAUAUUUUAGGAGGUUUAUGAAAGGAUGGAAUGGACCCUGAAAAGCACUCUUGAAUACAGAACCUGAAGAUCGGAUCUUCUGAGAACCUCAGAGAAAGACUGCCCUUGGCAUCCACACUGCAGCAAAACUUCAGGACCUUGAACCUUGGGCUAAUAAUUUCACAACUGAGACGGCUUCAUCUACACCCUUGGAACUAUACCCAUUGGAACCCUUAAGGUAAAGCUAACCAAGGAAGUUUCUACCCAGAAGAAGAUUGCAUCCUUGAUAUGAACAGCUUUUUCCCAAGAUCAUGCAUCAAGACUUCUCUACUAUCAUGAGACUCUUAUCUUUGAAUCUUUUUCCCUUGCUUAUGCCUCUAUGAACAAUAGAAGUGAAAAGGGGGUCUGUUGUGUGUACUAAUUGUGUAUACUUUGAUUUGUGAAGGAUUUUGAAGCCAGCCUUAUACAUGGUUAAGCUUAUACCUUGAUAGAUGGAAGAUGAGGCGCAAUGAAGGUAAGAAAUUUUAAAGGUACAUAUGUGGCCUCAUAGUCAGUCAGAAAUAACACAUUGGUUCAUUCUUCUUAACCCACAUCAUGGGUUAAAGAGAACAAUGCCAGGAGGCCUUCACUCUUCUAGAAGGGCAUUAUUUAUUAGGUCCUUUUCCGCCACAGUUUGGGGUAAAAGAGACAGUGACUAGAAAUUUAUCCCUCAUAAUAAGCUCUAUAGCAGAUUCUAUUGUAAAGGCUAUGGUUGCAAAACAGACUUUAAAUUCUCUUGUGAAAGUUAUGCUAAAUAAUGGAAUUGCUGUAGAUUACUUACUGGCUAAACAGAGAAGUAUCUGUGCAGCUGCUGGCACUUGUGGCCUGUGGAGAAAUACAUCACAUCAGGUAUUACAGAGAUUCAGCUGUAGGGGAUUAAUGAAGAGACUGCUUAGUUAAGUAGGCAGACCCUUUAUCUAGCUUAUUCUUUGAUCUAUUUAAUUUUAGGUGGUUUGGGUAUGGGGAUCUUGGGUAACUCUUCGUGUUAUGCUCCGAUAUUCAUGAUAGUAGUCUCCCUGGUAUACUGUAUUCUCUUAAAAGAUUUAAAUUUUUGCAUGCAGCCAUCUGUAGAAAGUCAAAUGGUCUCUCCAACUGGAAUGACAAGAGCUGAAAGAAAUGUGUGACCAUGAGGGCACUGUAACCUAUAAAUGACAUGCUGAGACCAGAAACCCAAAAUGAUAGUAACUAAGAGUGACACAAAAGCCCUAAGUUUUGGUCACACUCUCACCUAAGUGAGAACCUGACCAAAAAGGGGAGUUUUUUAACAAAAUUUUGGGAGGCCAUUGUUUUUGACUGAACUCAUGCACAAGGCCCCAACAGAGCAGACCAAACCAAAAUGGAGUCACUCAUACUACCUGUGACAUAAUCAAACUAAGACUUCAAGGAAACACACAGAUCCUAGAAGAGACCAGGUUUUGGGUUUUUUUCUCCUGUUUCUCCUGUUUGUUUGUUUGUUUGUUUGUUAACAGGGGAAAAAACCCCAAACCUGGUCUCUUCUAGGAUCUGUGUGUUCCACCAUAGACUAGAAGGUCCCUCCUUGUCCUAGAGAAGAUCUAGAACACAUUUCUAGGACAGAAUGUAUAAGCCAGCCUUAUACAUGGAUAAACUUAUACCUUGAUAGAUGGAAGAUGAGGCCCAAUGAAGGUGAGAAACACAUAUCUAUGACAUUCCAGCAUAAGAAUCUAAGGUAUAAUUCCUACAUGACAGGAAUCUGCUCCAUUAACAGUUGGUAGAUCUCACUUGUAAAACUGUUUCAGCCCUCUUCCCCGAACCCAAGAGCAGUUUUUAAAAUUCCUUUAUAGAUUAUCUUUAAUAUUUUUAAGUCUAUUUGGUUCUGUGAUUUUUUUCUUUGAAUCAUUUUUGCUAACAUGUUACCUAGAAAAUGGUUUAUUGAAUCUAACUUUUCUAAUUUAUUGGCAAAAAAUUUGUUCACAUUGUUUUAUUUUUGGUAUUCUUUCUAUAUCUGCAGUUAAAGCCAUUUUUUUAUUUCUACUGUUUACCUGCUCUCUCUCUCUCUCUCCUCUCAUUCAUCAAUACUUUCAAAGUUUUAGUUAUUAGCAUUUUUUAAAGAAUUAGUCUCUGGUUUUGUCAUUUCUCUCUAAUGUACUUUUGUCUUCAAUAUCAUUACUUUUGCUCUUACCUUUGUUAUCUAUGAAAUGCAGCUGCUUUGCUGUGACUCCUUUUAUUCCUAGGACUAGGGAGCAGAGCUUGAGAGGAGGAAGAAGAAAGUGUACUAUUUUUGAAAUGAAAUUAAGCCAAGAAAAAUUGAGGCUGGCAUUUCCUCUGAGAGGUGCUAGACUCAAGUUGUUCUUUAAAGGAAAAAUUUUGAAACCCUUCUUUGGAGCUUUUGGAGAGCCCUAGAAGGUAUGUUCCAAGGGAAUAUUUUCAGAGAAUGUUAAUGUUGUUUUUAUUGCAUAACAAAUUUCUAUGUAACCUUAGAGUCAAGAGAAAAAGGAUCUUCUAUUUUCUUAAAACACUGAUUCACUGCGGAGGUCAUAAAUGCUAAAUCACAGCAUGGCAGGCAAGUGAAAAGAAAAUAAGAAAGCAAUGACUAUCUACAUAAUUUAUUUCUAAAUCAUAGUCCAUGGGCUGAUUUCUUUUAGCAUUUGGCACUUUGCCAAGCUGAUGAACCCCCUAUCCACAUGAAGUCAAGACCCACAGAUAAUAUGGAUUUCCCUUUCUCCAGCAUUGGCAAGCACCUAAGUAAUAUGGAAGUAUUUGGAAGAGCUUGUUUAUGUAUGUCUGUAUUGUCACCCAUCAAUUUGAUCUCUUUGGUGACUUAGAAUUCCUGAUGUCCUCUGAGCCUACUCUGGGGUAAUAGUUCCAUCCCUCAGUGUAAUGGAAUUUUUUAUUUUAAUGAAAAAGUUCUUAGUGUAAUUAGGCAUGCAAAUAAAUAGACCAGCAAUUAUGGUGCAUCAUAAUAAAUGCUACAUUAGAAAUAUGCAAAAGUGAUAUGAGAGGUAGAGACAGAAUCCCUCACUCCAUAUUAAGGAAUCAUAACAGGAUUCCUGGAAGAGGAACUGAAGCUUAAGUUAUAAAGGUUAGCUUUACCUUGAGGCAAGGUUAUCUGAAAGCUCUUUCAGACUGGGUAUAAAUGGAUAUAUUAAUCUGUUCUCACGCUGCUAUAAGGGCAUACCUGAGACUGGGUAAUUUAUAAAGUUCCACAUGGCUGAGGAGGCCUCAGGAAACUUACAACCAUGGCAGAAGGCACCUCCUCACAGGGUGGCAGGAGAGAGAAUGAGUGUCGAGCGAAGGGGGAGGCCCCUUAUAAAACUAUUGUAUCUCAUGAGGACUCACUGUAACAAGAAUAGCACAGGAAGAACUUCCACCAUGAUUCAAUUAUCUCCACGUGGUCCUGGCUUCGACAGUGGCGAUUAUUACAAUUCAAGGUGAAAUUUGGGUGGAGACAUAGAUCCAAACUAUAUCAAUGGGUAAGAGGAGUUAAGGCCGUAGGAGUGAAGGGAUUGGUGGAGCUCUGUAAAGGCAGUAAGGCCAGGUACAUGGAGGAUCCAGUGUUCCCAUCUGCUAAAAUGCUCCAGUCAUGAGAAAUGAGGCAAGAGAUGAGAGGAAGGGUGAGUAGCAAAGCAUAACUUUUCUGAAUUGGAAUAGCUGAUCGUGCCUUCUGGCACAGAAGAUGCAUACCCAACUCUCAGAUCUCACCUAGAGGAAACAGUUCUGCCUCACUCAACCAGAGUUACUCCAAGUAUGAGCCAUCUGCUCUCAUCUCACCUGGCUGGCUUGCCCUGUCUCAAAUGACUAAUGUCAAGGUAAGAACUCUCUUUCCAUCUAGACCAUGCCAUUUGCUGAUCUUUUCCCCUACCUCAUCAUUUCUAGAACAAGUGAGUCAGACCAGGGUAAUCAGGGAUGGGGGCUUCAGCUGAUCCAGUCAGGAGAAAGCCAGGCCUCAGGUCAUUAAAGCCAGAAGAAGGCCAUGCUGGCUCACCACUAGGCUGAUCCCACAAUGUCCUUGGGGCAGCAAAACAGGGGCCUUGAGUAUCCUAUUGAAAGAAUGUUCUGUUUCAAAAAUAUCCUCAAAGCUAUUGUCCUAGGAAAUAUAAGAAUGUUGUGUUAUAAUUCCUUACACUUACAUUAGUUUAUAUAAAGAUCUUAAUCUGGCCCUAGUUGAAGGUUGGUGUAUUGAGACCAGGCCCCUCAUUUAAAGUGUUUCUGGAACAGAAGGGCUGGAGUGAGAAGUCCAUGGGGGACCUGUUCUCAAGAAUAACUGAGAUCUGUAGCAAUGUUGUAAAGCGCUUUCACAAACUGCAUGUCAUGUCUUCCUCACUAAAACUUACAAACUGCAUUGUAUUAAUAAUUCUAGAACUGGAAAUACCAUUUUACCCAGCCAUCCCAUUACUGGGUAUAUACCCAAAGGACUAUAAAUCAUGCUGCUAUAAAGACACAUGCACACGUAUGUUUAUUGUGGCAUUAUUCACAAUAGCAAAGACUUGGAACCAACCCAGAUGUCCAACAAUGAUAGACUGGAUUAAGAAAAUGUGGCACAUAUACACCAUGGAAUACUAUGCAGCCAUAAAAAAUGAUGAGUUCAUGUCCUUUGUAGGGACAUGGAUGAAAUUGGAAAUCAUCAUUCUCAGUAAACUAUCGCAAGAACAAAAAACCAAACACUGCAUAUUCUCACUCAUAGGUGGGAAUUGAACAAUGAGAUCACAUGGACACAGGAAGGGGAAUAUCACACUCUGGGGACUGUUGUGGGGUGGGGGGAGGGGGGAGGGAUAGCAUUGGGAGAUAUACCUAAUGCUAGAUGACGAGUUAGUGGGUGCAACGCACCAGCAUGUCACAUGUAUACAUAUGUAACUAACCUGCACAAUGUGCACAUGUACCCUAGAACUUAAAGUAUAAUUUAAAAAAAAAAGAAAAAAGAAAGCAAAAAAAAUAAUAAUAAUUCUUACUUUGCAGAUGGGGAAAUAGAUGCCAGGGGAAGUCGCAUAAUUAACCAAGUUCCUUAGCUGGUGGGAGUAACAUUUAGAACUCAUAUCCAGAUCUCUUGACUCCUGAGCCCACAGCUUCAGUCUCUACCCAAGGCCGUGGUCUUGUGAAACUCUUAUAAGCUCAUAAUUGUUUCACCUCAGCUAUGAGGGUGUGUGCUGAAGGACAGAAAAUCUAGCCCUUCAAGGUCUGGACUUAUGAGUCCAAGGCAAGAGCAAAGUUAGCUGAACUCAGGCUGAGCUAAUAAAUUGAUUUUGCACCCCUUAUAUUCAUUCAGCUAAGGCCAGAAUCAUGCAGCCUGGAUGUACAGGUGGGGAUGAGGUGACCCCAGAUGGCAGAGCGCAGGAGUAGGUGGGGGGUGGAUAAUUACAAUAAGACUUUGCCUUAUCUCUUAAGUAUUCUUGUCCUGUGGGGUGACCUUGAGAAAUUGUUCUACUUCCCUGUCUCUCUAGCUCUGCAAUGAAUUGAAUAUGUGAGUGCCUGUGCUGUGAAGAUGUAGGGAUGCUCCCUGUCCUCAGGAUGCUUACAUCCAGAAGAAUGCAUUUUAAAAGGUCUAGGUAUAAGGGAGAAUGUGUUUCAUUUUUGUUUUGUAGAAUCGUUAAGAAACCUAUUCUUCUGGGAAACACAGACGAAUAACAUGUUAUUUUAGAUUUGAACAUUUGUAAAGAUUUUGGAUGGAUUUGGUAUUUGAGCUGCUUUGUCAGGAAGUAGGAUUUUGAUGGUCAGGGCUGAGGACAGACUGGGGAGCAAAUACAAGAAUGUGAAAAAGCCAGGCGUGCAGUCUCUCUCUCUCUCUCCUCUUCUCUCCACCCCUCUAGUAGUUCUGUUUCUCUGAAGAAUCCUAAUGUGUACCCCAACUGUUUCCAAAAUGAUUUUGAGAUUGCUAAGCAGCCACAUUCAGUUGAAACUGGCUUUACAUUUUGUAGGUUUAAGCAAUUUUGGGGGCAAUGAAUGUACCUUCAAUAGACUUUUGAGUGUCAACCUUUAUUUUCUCCCAGUCCAUUGCUUACAGUCCCCAGGCUACUGCUGUUCUGUCUAAUGAUCCUUACAGUAAAUACACUAAAAGAAUAGACAAUGUAUUUAACAGAGACUGAUCCCUGGAGUCUGCACAUAAGAUUUAGUCUGCAGUUGAUACUAAUAAACAUGAACACAGCCUACACUGCUGUUCCAUCUGCCUUAAGGUUUAGAUAGCCUAUGUGAGAAUGAAGUGGCCCCUCUGAAGGAAACAGGAAACUUAUACAGUAAAAUGUAAUUAAACCAGGAUAAGCAGCUAUCUUGGAAACUGUGGCAAGAAGCUUACAGAAAAUUUUGGAGAUGUCGAUAAGGGAGACAUGGAGAGUAAGGGGUGGGUCACUGUUUCUCCAAGGCUGAUAAAUCAUGGCUCCAAUGUGGACUUGGUGUCAGGCCUCCCAAAUGAUGCUGCUCCUCACCACACACACACACAUACGUAAACAUACACACACACAUACACACACAGGGGGAGAGAGAGAGUUUUAAAUGUCCAUGCAACCUGGAAGACAUACUUCUUCUUCCUGGGGCCCAGUUUUCUCAUCUGUAAUAUGAUAGGAGUAAGCCAGACGAUCUCUAAGUUCUUUUCCAAUUCUGGCAUUCUAUAACUCUAAAGUUUGUUUUCUCUAAUCAGUUCUGUGAUUUGGAAGACAAUGAGUUGAUAAUCCAGUGGGCUAUGACAGUUAUAGUUCUCUUAAUAAGUUAAAUUAGAGUAUUCAUGUUUUGGCAUAUUCACAUCCACGUUUGCAGACUCUGAUUAGCAUGGACAAUUUUCUCUCCCAAAUCACUUCCACACAAACUUAUCAAAUCAUCUGACUAGUCGCACGCAUCCUGACCAUAUCACAUCACAAGGCGGCAUGCAUUAAGGCAGUUAUAACAUCCCCCAAGGUAUUUGCACAAUGACUGCUCACCGUAGGGAACAGGCUUCCCUCUGCAACAAACAAGGAAAAUGUCUUUUAAAAUGCUCUAAAUAAUACAUGUGAAAACCUAGGCAAUACUCAAGGUAUAAAGGAAAAAAGCAAAAAUGGCUAAAUUCCCACCACUCAGAGAUUAUCACCAUGAACUUGUCAGUGAACAUUCUAACAUAAAUUUUCUAUGUUUAUAUAUACACACACAUAAUUUUGUAUAAGUGGGAUCAUAUUAUAUAUGCAAUUUUAUAAUAAUUUUUAAACCUUAUGAAAACUUUUAUGUUUUAAAUUAUAUCUAAAACUUACUUUACAGUCCAGUAAUAUUUUAAUACAGAAUUUUUAAAUUGUAGUAUAUUUUUCUUGUAUUUAAGGAAAGAUUAUUGGUCUACAAAGGGGAGAUUAGAAGACUUGCUUUCUCAACCCAUAGUUGUACCAUCUAUGUCUAAAGAUACUGAAAAAUGUGAAAACUGACGUAACAGAGAAUUCUGACUUUCUAAAGAAAUCAUGCAAAACUUUACAUGAAACAAACAAAUGAUGAAAGCUAUCAUCAUUUGUGAGUUUCCCUCACUUUUUAGAUGUUAAUAAUUUGCCAUAGUGGGUCUUACGAAAAACCAAAAUUUCAGAUGAUAUAGCGUGUCAAUUAAGUUGUUGUCAAUUUUGAGGGCAAUGACUCAUAGUUUAAAGAAGGAAAAUUGAAUAUUUUAAUUGUAGACUUGAUGAGCUCUUUAAAUGCCAGAAAUGAUUUGUUACAAAUUUUUGAACUAGAAAUGAAAACUCCCUGAAGCAUCUUCUAGGGUAAAUAGUCAUACUGCAUUAACCGUAAGAGCAUAACCAAUAACUUAGAGACCUUUUACAAUUUUAAAAUCAAAUAUUGCUGAAUGCCUGCUGGAUGAAAAGUAAAUAAAAGACGUUACAGCAGGAACACUUUCCAAUAUUACAGCAACUCAGUGAAUUUCACUUCUGCUGCAUCCUGAAGGAAGAUGGUUGUCUCAGGAAAAUCAAUUUGAGUUGCAAGCUGAGCUAGCUGCUUUAUUUACAGAACACCAUUUUUACUUGAAUGAACAAGGAAAAUACAAACUAUGGUUAUUCAGUUGUGUAUUUUGGCAGAUAUUUUCUGGAAAAUUAACAAAGUAGCCUGUCACUGCCAGGACUAACAUUUUUUGUUAAUGUUGCUGAUUUUGUGUUUUGUGCUAAUGAUAAAAUUUCAACUUUUAAGAGAUUAGAAUUUUGGAAAAGUUUUAUCUUCCACUGUGAAUUUGUCCGCUUCACAAUGCUUGAAGACAUUUUUAUGAGAUUUAUAGGUAUUCAUAAAUGUGAUUUAUUUAUUAUUAUUUUUUUUUUUUUGAGACGGAGUCUUGCUUUGUUACCCAGGCUGGAGUGCAGUGGAGUGAUCUCAGCUCACUGCAACCUCCCAGGUUCAAGCAAUUCUCCUGCCUCAGCCUCCCCAGUAGCUGGGAUUACAGGUGCCCACCACCACACCCGGCUAAUUUUAUAUUUUUAGUAGAGACAGGUUUUCACCAUGUUGGCCUGGCUGUCUCGAACUCAAAUGAUCUGCCUGCCUCAGCCUCCCAAAGUUCUGGGAUUACAGGUGUGAGCCACUGUGCCCAGCCAAAAAUGUGAUUUUUUAAAAUAUCAUUUACUUUUUGAUAUCAAUAUUCAAAUUUAUAUUUACCAAUAUGUAAUCUUGUAAAAAAUAUACAUGAGUAAAGAUCUAUUCAAAGUGCAAGAUAGACCAGUGGAUUUUAAUGUUACAGAGUACCAAAAGUUCAUUGCUAAUCAUUUCACAUCCCACAAUGAAGCUUACUUUUCAGAAACUACCGCCUGUUGAAAUUUGAUGUUAUGUCAAAGAAGGCUAUCCACAGUUAUAAAAGGCUACUUAAAUGCUUCUGUCCUUUUCAAGUAUAUGUCUCUAUGAAGUUUGAAUUUUUUCAAACCAAAUAGCAUAUUGCAACAGAUUGAAGCAAAAACAAACAUGAGAAUCCAGCUGACAGUAAAGAGACGUGCAAAGAUGUAAAACAAUGCCACGCUUAUCACUAAAUGUUUUUGUUUUAGAAAACACAUUUGUCAUAAAUAUGUUAAUUAUGUCAACAUGCAAUUGGCUUAUUGUUAUUUUGAAUCAAUCAAAUAUUUUUAAAAUUCAGUUUUAUUUCUGAUAUCAUAACUGCUGAUAAAUAUAAUCCACAGAAAUGAAAGCUGUUUAGAGUCCUCAAUGAUUUUUAAGAGUUGUAAAAUGGUGUUGUGACCAAAAUAUUUGAGAACCACAAAUCUAAAGUAAAUCCUAAUUUACCCAAUUUAUUUAAUGGAUACCUUGAUUUAAAUUGCCUAUUUCUUUACCUUGUCUAUUAAAAAGCUAUACCCUACUAAUGAAAUAAAAAUCAAUGUAUCCUUUUUCAUAAAAGAACAAUUGCUUAAGCAAUAAUGUUGAUUUGGAGUUUAAAUGUAUGGUUCAAAUAGUACCUAUAGUUUUUUUUUUUUCUUUUUAAGGAAUUUGAAGUCAAAAUUUAUAUUUUCAUCUCCUGUUAUUUUUUAAUUUUAAUAUCAGUUUAGCAAUAGGGAAACAUUGACUUAUUUGAUUAAAAUGGUUAAGAUCCACACUGAAUGUGCAUUACUACUAGAUCAUGGACAAACUUAUUCCUUUCUAACUUACAAUUUAGCAUUCGUUCAUUUUUAAACAAGUUUGAAUGUAAAUUAUUCACUGGGCUUCUCAGAAGGAAUUUGUACUUUCAGUUAGGGAUAUUAUUAAAUCUUAAAUUUGUAGUGUAUGGUCUAUGGUUUAUUAUUUUCUCCCCUGGCAUUCAGCAAAGUUCUUGACGCAUAAGACAUACUCAGUAAAUGUUUGUUGGACGACUGACGGAUAAAUGAUGAGCACAUGAGUGAAUAAAUGAGUAAAUGAGUGAAUGACUGCAUUUUUUAAUCAAAAAAGUAUGUUUAGCCAUAUGCAUAUUUUAUGACAAAUUAGAAACAAGAAUGAUCCUUUGAAUAUGUAUGCCCCACCAGGCAGCCACCUCUGGUUCAGAGCCUCCUUCCCGACCCCAGGCUAUUCUGACCCUGAUAGCCUAAGUGCUGUUCCUACCUUUACUUGGACUUUCUUUCUUUCUUUCUUCCUUUCUUCCUUUCUUCCUUUCUCCUUUCCCUUUCCUUUCCUUUCCUUGUUUCAUUCUUCUUGCCCAGGCUGGAGUACAGUAGCAUAAUCUCGGCUCACUGCAACCUCCACGUACUGGGUUCAAGCAAUUCUCCUGCCUCAGUCCCCCCGAGUAGCUGGGAUUACAGGCGCCUGCCACCACACCCAGCUAAUUUGUGUAUUUUUGGUAGACACAGGGUUUCACCAUGUUGGCCUGGCUGGUCUCAAACUCCUGACCUCAGGUGAUCUGCCUGCCUCGGCCUGCCAACGUACUGGGAUUACAGACAUGAGCCACCACGCCUGGCCACCUUUCCUUAGACUUUCUUUAUGCCCCGUUUAGCCUGGACUUCUGCGUGCCACUUGCUCCUGUCUGACUCUUCACUGACAUGACAUAGCCCAUUAUCUCAUGUUAGGCUUUUCUUGGAAACAGCGCAGGAUGAGGAUAAAGAAGAGAGUGGACUCAGGAACCUAACUCCUAGCCUGGCUCUACUACUUCCUGGCUGGCUAACUUUGAGCAAAUACCUUUGUUCCCCUCCUCUGUAUGGUAGAGAUCAUAAGAGCAUUACCCUCAAGGGGUUAUCAUGAGAAUUCCAUGGGUGAGUCUUUGUAAAGUGAUUAGAAUGGUGCCUUGCACACAGUAAGCUCUUUAUAGAUAUUUAUUAAAUAAAUGUAAAAGUAUAUAAGGACAGCAUGACGUGGCUGGCCUUUAGAAGCCUGUUAGACUUCAGGUUGAGUGAGGGUGUUGGAAGCCCCUUUCCCCAGACCUGCCUACCCCAUUGUACAGCUCUUUGGACCCAAGUUCUGGCUCUUCACAGAUGGGCUUCAUUCUCCACACUGGGUCACAUCUGGCUGUAUCUUGAGACAGACCAUCCUACCUGGGGAACACAAAUUUCCACAUCUAGGACAAGUAAAACAACUGCCAUUAAAAUAUAACUUUCAUGAGGUAUCCUUCCACCUACAUAGAAAUAUCAAAGAUUAUCAGAAAAAGGAUGAGAAGAGCAUUCUCUAAGAGCAGAAAUUACUCAUAAGAGCAAAACAGAGGAAGGUAGGAAAAAUAAAUUCAGACUGGGAAUAAACAUUUCUGGAUUAUGUUACAAAUCAUGUGUAGUUGGGAAUAGUCACCUGCCUAAAAGGAUUAAUCAGUCUUCCUUUCUGGUUAGUGUACAUUCUGUUCAGACACUGCAAGGGUUAUUUGAGAGAGCUUGUCCCCUGAAAGCCCAUAACCUUUGUCUGCAGCUUGUUCAAUAGACAUAUGUAAUUAUUGUACAUUUGAGUUAGUCCUAUCAUGUCAUGUUGGCUGAGACGUCAAAUAAUUUCUAACUGGAUCAGUUACAAACCUUUCUUUUUCCUGUUUAAACCAUAAUCCCUGCAGUUUAGAUACGUUUCAUUUCCUAUGAGCUGUUAAUGAGGAUGAUGUUCUUCUUCAGAGUUGGAAUAAAGGAAAAGUUGUCUUAAAUAAGCACCUGGAGGCCUAAGAAAUCUCAUGGAACUGUUAGGGCCUAGAGAUAGGGCCUAAUCACUAUAAAAGAAGUAUCUUAAAAUAGUUAAGUUUCACACACCUUAACCACCAUGUUUUAUGUAAAUAGGAAAAUGCCAGUAACUAAACUCGUGUUUAAAAAUGUAACAUUUGAGAAGAUCCUAGGAUUGCUGCAUUUGUCAAUGGAUAACGUAAGUAGCAGUUCAUCAACCUGCAAACACUGUACCACAUUCACUGGUACACAGUUACAACCUAGAAACCAUCAGCAAUCUAGUGUGCAGCCCAAGAGACUGUCCCUUCUUUCAGUCAUUACUCCCUUCUCUGAUUUCUAACAGCAUAGGUUAGUUUUGUCUGCUUUUGUAUUUAAGUAAAUGGAACCAUUUUCUAUGUACUCAUUUGACUCUGACUUUCCUUCAUUACUGGUUGUGAGAUUCACCCAUUACAUAGUUUGAUUUUAAAUCUUGCUACUUUCAGGCUCUGUAACUUAGGGAAGUUGCUGUAGAAUCAGGGUAACAAUAGCUAAUACUUAGGAGUGAGUGCAAGAAUGAAAUAGGAUAACAGGAGAAGGCCUCUCAGCCAGUGCCUAUUUCUAACAGAUGCCAUUCCUAUCUCUCCUCCGAUAGCCUCUUCUGUCCCACCCUACUCCUUGACCUUGAUACCACACUGCAGCUUCCUCUAGCUCUUCUCACAUGGGUCUGGGCAUCUGCAGCAGUGGGCAGGCAACACCCAGGCUCCUGGAAGAUCUACUUUCCCUAAUAAAUAGGCUUCAUAAAGAACUCUGAGGAUAAAAAUAAAAGCCAUAGUCUGGGAGAAACUACUUGGUGAAGAACCUGUAUCCAGAAUGUAAAAAGAGACCUCUCAAAACUCAAAAGUAAGAGAAUAAAUACACAACUAAAAAACUGGGCUAAGAGUUUGAACAAAUAUUUCACCAAUGGAGGCAUGUGGAUGACAAAUAAACACAUGAAAAGAUGCUCAACAUCAUAAGUCAUUAGGAAAAUGCAAAGAUGUUGCAGAAAGUCAGGGACCCCGAAUGGAGGGACCGGCUGAAGCCAUGGCAGAAGAACAUAAAUUGUGAAGAUUUCAUGGACAUUUAUUAGUUCCCCAAAUUAAUACUUUUAUAAUUUCUUACGCCUGUCUUUACUGCAAUCUCUGAACAUAAAUUGUGAAGAUUUCAUGGACACUUAUCACUUCCCCAAUCAAUACCCUUGUGAUUUCCUAUGCCUGUCUUUCAUCUCUUAAUUCUUUCAUCUUCGUAAGCUGAGGAGGAUGUAUGUCACCUCAGGACCCUGUGAUGAUUGCAUUAACUGCACAAAUUGUUUGUAGAGCAUGUGUGUUUGAACAAUAUCAAGUCUGGGCACCUUAAGAACAGGAUAACAGCAAUGUUCAGGGAACAAGGUAGAUAACCUUAAAGUCUGGCUGCCUGUGGGCCAGGCGGAACAGAGCCAUAUUUCUCUUCUUUCAAAAGCAAAUAGGAGAAAUAUCACUGAAUUCUUUUUCUCAGGAAGGAACAUCCCUGAGAAAGACAAUGCAUCCCUAACAGGAGGCCUCUGAAAUGGUCGCUCUGGGGAUGGCUGUCUUUUAUGGUCGUAGAUAAGGGAUGAAAUAAGCUCCGGUCUCCUGUAGCACUCCCAGGCUUAUUAGGACGAGGAAAUUCCCACCUAAUAAAUUUUGGUCAGACCAGUUGUCUGCUCUCAAACCCUGUCUCCUGAUAAGAUGUUAUCAAUGACAAUGCCUGCCCGAAACUUCAUUAGCAAUUUUAAUUUUGCCCUGUUCCUGUGGUCCUGUGAUCUCACCCUGCCUCCAUUUGCCUUGUGAUAUUUUAUUACCUUGUGAAGCAUGUGAUCUCUGUGACCCACACCCUAUUUGUACACUCCCUCCCCUUUUGAAAAUCACUAAUAAAAACUUGCUGGUUUUGUGGCUUGGGGGGCAUCAUGGAACCUGCCGACAUGUGAUGUCUCCCCUGGACACCCAGCUUUAAAAUUUCUCUUUUGUACUCUCCCUUUAUUUCUCAGACUGGCCGACACUUAGGGAAAAUAGAAAAGAACCUACAUGAAAUAACGGGGGUGAAUUUCCCCCAACACAAAUUAAAACUACAGUGAGAUGCCACUGCGCAUCUAUUAGAAGGGCUAAAAUAAAAAAAAAAUAAAAAAAAAACUGACCAUACGAGGUGUUGGCGAGGAUGUGGAGGAACCAGAACUCUCAUGCAUGGCUUGUAGGGAGGUAAACUGAUACCACCCCUUUAAAAAACAGUUGGCAGUUUUUAAAAAAUAAAAACAUACACCAUAGGACCCCACCAUUACUCUCCUAGAUAUUUACCUAAGAGAAAUGAAAGCAUAUAUCUACACAAUGAUGUGUAAGCAAAUAGCAACUUUAUUCAUAAACUGGAAAAAACCAAAAUGUCUAUCAACAGAUGGAUGGAUAAAAAAUUUUGGUACAUCUUUACAAUGGAAUACUAUUCAACAAUAAAAAGGAAUUAACUAUGAAUAAACACAAAAUGGAUUUAAUUGGAAAAUAAUUUUGUUGAGAGAAAGAAGCUGGACAAAGAGUACAUACUCUAUCAUUCCAUUUAUGUAUGUUAGUAAAUGCAAAAUAAUCUGUAGUAACAGACAGCAGCAAAUCAGUGGUUGCCAAGGAGUGAAGGGGAUGGGCUGGGAGGUACCACAAGGGAUCAUGAGGAAACUUUUGCUGGUGAUGCAUAGUUUACUAUCUUGAUGUUGGUCAUAGUUUCAUGGUUGUAUACAUAUGUCAAAACUUAUGAACUUGUAUACAUUAAAUAUAUGCUCUUUACUCCUUGUCGAUUAUGCCUCAAUAAAGCUAUUACAAUUUUCUUUUAAGAAAAAAAGAGGACUGUGACGCUUUCAGGUCUGAGUGGUACAUUAAGCAUGUUCAAUAGUUAAACAGAACACUGUUUCAUUUGGUUACCAAAAUGCAAUUACUUUUUAAGAACAAUUACUAACUUGUGUUUCCUGCCCAUUUGGACUAUUCAUGAUCCAUUGCUUGGUUGCUUAGGGACUGCCAACCAAUAAAUAACCCUUCGGGAAGAUGACCACUCUCCAAAUCAGGCUUAGCAUGCCCAUUAAUUUUAGCCACCAAGUUCCUCUUCCUACCUUUGAAUUUGAAUAUGGAAAAAAAUGGCUCAUCAUGUCCAUUAAUUUGGUAUAAAACCAACUUUCGCCCUUUACCCACUCCCUUCUCCUCCCACUGAGACCUCUCUAUGUCCCUCUCUAAUCCUGACACAACCCAUUCAUUGAAGUAUCACAGUCCCAGGCAAUGUGUGUACACAGAAAGUUGAUUUCUGAGAAUUGUUUUUUUACAAACUUCAACAGAUUUCAAAAUUAGUUCAUUGCUGAGGAGAUCAGUCUGACUCAGGUUUAUGUGCAAACAAUAGACAUAGUUUAAAAAAAUCAUCAGGAACACCUAAGAUCAAAGCUGUUUUGUUCCAGCUGCUAAGCGGGAGAUUUUGUGGCAUCCAUUUUAGUCCCUUGGCAGUCAUAAUCCUGAGUUCUGUGCUGUGACAUAGAAGCAGUCAACGAGAUCACUGAAGGAGAAGCUAAUAGUACAGAAACUUCCAGUGUUCCCACAAAGAAGGGAAUUUGGUAUUAUAUUGUACACAGAAAAAAAUUUUUAAUAAAAAUCAAAAAGUAAGGCUUUGGUUAGAAAAACACUUAGUAAAACAGAGAGGAAUAGGCUUUAUGACCUGGAGUAUUAAGCCUUGUUUCAAAAAAUUGCAAAACCAAGAAAAUGAAAAUCGACAGGUAUAAAUACAGUAGAAAAUCUAAGGUAGAGUGACUCAGUUCUGACAGUUGUCUGAUAUAUAAAGAUACACAGGAUAGUCCCAUGGGAAUGAACAGGAAUCCUAGAUUCCUAGGCCUUGAGUUCAAAUUCUGUCUCCACUACUUACUAGAUAUGUGACCUUGAGUUACUUUUGCAAAGUUUUAUCUUCCUAUUCUAAAAAAUAAGGGUCAUAAAACUACCUACCUCUUAAGAUUGUUUGAGGUGAGCUAACACCAUAAAACAUUCAACAGAGUGUUUAGUUGUAAGGACUCAAUAAAUGUCAGCUUUAUUUUUAUGAAGUAUAACUGAGAUAUGCUCUAAGCAAUCAUCUUGUAUCAGAAUUACCCAAACUUGCCCAUCAUAACAAUCAGCUGGGGCUUUUAUGGAACAUACAGAUUCCAGGGCCCUGACUCAGACCUACUGAAACUGCAUCUCCAGAGGAGGGGCCCAGGACUCUAUUUAACAAGAGCCUCAGGGCUCUAGGCACAUUUGGGAAAUGGAGAUGAUGUUAGUAAAAUUUCAUUUCCCUGUAUCUAUAGGUCUCAAAUUUGAGGACACAUAACAAUCAUCUGGGGUCUGGUUAAAAUACACACUCAUAGCAUUCCUAUCCCCCAGAGAUUCUGAUUAAGGUCUAGGAUGGUGUCAGAACAAUUGGGUUUUAAACAAGCGCUCUCCUGGUAAUUCUGGGCAAAAGGGCUUUCAUCCUACAUUUUGGAAAACACUGCCCAACAUUGUGUUACCCUUAUUUAGACUAAAAAGAUAACUCUAGGAAUAGUCUCUAAUCUAGGAGAAAAUUUUCAAUAGCUUUGUUUCUGCUACCAGGUCAUGCAAUGUAUGAAUAAGAGGGAAUAAUUUAAUCUCUCUGCCAAGUAGUUCUUUUUCUCAUCCAUUAAAAUUGGUUCUUUCUAUGCCAGUUUCUUUGGCUUGAGGUUAAAAAGUCCAUUAUACAUUUGAUGCAUCUGUUCAGAGUUUCAUGAUUGUGCUAUGUCGGCCUUUUUGCGACCUCUGAUCACUUAGUCUGAUUUAGGGCCUGUAGGCACCCUGAAGCUAAGGACUUUGCUUGCUUAACUUGUGUUUCAUACUGGGUAUUUCUGAGUCAUUUCUGAUGAGCAGAGGGCUUGAGGGAAGCAUGAACAAAAGAAGUGAGAGCUGGUUGGGCACAUAAGCACUUGGUCCUGAUGGAGGCUUUGUGGCACCUGACUUGCCAGCUGCUUCAGUGCUUGUCCUCACAGUUCAGGAUUCACCUAAUGUGCUGAGAUAAAGCAGCAAACAGAUCCUGAGAGUAGAGUCAGGCUACACAGGCAUUAUAUGCAUGGGCUUUUGCAUGACUUUUGAUGGGUCAAAGAUAAAUGCUCAAGCUUGUGAGCAGCCAAGAGACAGGUCUGGAAGGAUAUACCAGUGUGUCAGAACUGGAAAGUGUUGCGAUCUGGAAGAGAAGCACAACUCCAGCAGAGAAUGGCAGGGAGCUUUUCUGUUAGUCCUGUGGAAUUCAACUAUGAACUGAGAAAUCAUCUCACUGGGACGCACUUGCAGUCAUCCACUUAAAGUUAAGAGCCAUAACAGAACAGGAUUUAGGGUAUAAGUAAAUAAAAAAUGUGCCACCAAUCUGGGGAAAUAUCUUGCUAAAUAAUUGCCAUCUUCCCUAUGUGUAUUAGUGCCCGUGAUCAAUAGACCUGGGUGUAGAUCAUUUUAUCCAUCUCUUUUGGAACAGAGUCACCUUAUUCUUAAAAGCCAACUCAGACACUCAGUCUCAUUUUUCAUAGUGUUCCAAUUCAAAACUUGACAGUUCUUGAAACUCUUCAAAACUAAUUCAGGAAAUUAUUUCUGUAGCUUUUUAAAUAUAUGAAGUGGACAAUAUAAAAAUUUGAAAUUUACCUUGGAUAAGCAGCAUCACUUAGACAGUGAGGGUGAAGAAUAAAAAUUUGGGACGCACUAAAGUCUACUCUUUUCUCCACUUCACAUUUAUUGGGAAUAUUCUGGAAAGUGGCUUUUGCCCGUGGUUCCUAAAUGUCUUCCCCCUGUGAGCUAUACCAGUCAUCAGGUGUGUUAUGUCCAUACAGCUUUCCUAAGAAAUGGAAAUUAAAGUGUCUUUCCAACUCCACAGGCACCAUAGCUGCUGAAUAAUAAAGAGGAUAAAUGGCUCACAUUUAGGAACUACUUACUAUAGGUACAAUUGGGAAUUGUCAGGAUGCAGGUCUUUUUACAAAAGUUCUAGCAGCUGCAUUUUACUAAAUGAAGGGUUUGUUGUUGUUGUUGUUGUUGUUGUUGUUGUUGUUGUUGUUAAUGGCCACACUGGUGUAUACCAAUAAACAGAAAAUCUCAUUAGUAUCCUUUCUUUUUCCCACACACCUUCUCUAUAUGGCUUAGAGCAAAGUGGGGAUUAAUUUGUUGUGUAUCAUGGGAAGGGAGGUAUUCAGAAAAUUAAAUCAUGGAUAAACUUGAAACAGACACAGUCAGAAGUAACCUUAUCAUUAAGUGACAUUUAUUACGUUCCCAUAUCACACAAUUCUAAUUUACAGAGCUCAUGCCAGCUUAUAAAUUUUAUGCAUUUUUUCCUCCCAAUCUUUCAUCUAUUUCUGUUUCCCUACAUACUAGUUAGCAAUGUUUUUAGCUUUAAGUAACAAAGCCCAACUAAAAGUAGCUUAAGUCAUAAGGAUAUUUAUUAUUUAUUUAAUGAGCAGUCUAGAGUGGUAUAGAUGGCAUCAUGGUUGUUUGGUACCUCCAAGAUGCCAAUCAUAGAUCUUUAUUCCUUUGCUUCACCAUUCUCAGUGUAGUGUUGGCCUAUUGUCCCCUUGGUUGUCAUUGUAUGUUCACAAGAUAGCACAAUUCCCGCAUCACAUCCUUACAUCAUUUUCAAUGCCAGGAAGCAGAAAUAUAAGGGGCAGUUGCAAAAAAAAAAGUGAUUUGGCACUGACUAGUUACAAGAGGAGCACUAACUCCGCAGGGUAGUAUAACUUGGCAAAUGUUAAAACAAUGAACAGUAAUAAUAUUGUACACUUUGUUUCAAGCAUUGUGCUUUACAAUUAUUAUCUUUUUAAUCUUCACAACAGUACUAUGAGAGUAAUACUAUGAAAAUCUUCUUUUUUUUUGAGACGGAGUCUUGCUCUCUUGCCAGGCUGGAGUGCAGAAGCAUGAUCUCAGUUCACUGCAACCUCCACCUCCCGGAUCCAAGCAAUUCAUCUGCCUCAGCUGAAAAUCCUCAUUUUAUAGCUAUUAAAAGAUGAUGUAGCAAUAUUAAAAAUGAUUUUUACAAAAAAAUUUUGACAUUUUAGCCUACCAUUCUAUAUAAAAUGUUUUAAUUUUGUCCUGAAUAUGGACAUGUGUGACUCAGAUCUACCUUCAGGGAAGGACCUGUUGCCUUAGCUCCUAAGAGUGUUGUUAUGAGACACCUUUCAGCUGGCAGCCCCUGGGGGGAGAGAACUGAUUCUCCCAGGCUUGCCUUCUCCCUCGGUGGCCAACAUCCAAUCACUGAUUGGGGGUAUACAGACCAGGUAUUCUGGCCCAAUGUGGGACAACUCUAAUGGGCCAGUUCAUCUAGACUCCCCCGUCUGCCCAUUCCUGAUUCCUCUUUCUUCUUUCUACAGGUCUUGAUCCUAAGGGUAUUUCCUGAUAAACAUCCUGAAUCCAACUCUGUCUUAGAACCUGCCUCCUAGAAAAAAAUCAAACUGUGACAACUUUUAAGAUCCCUUCCACCUCCUGUCUACAUGCAUUUUUAUUUUACAUUAUUGCAGACAUACUGAAGUACUACUUUUGUUAUAAUUUUUAAUCUUAAUGUUCUAUCAUGAUCAACUCCUCAUGUUGUUAAAUAGCCUUCAUAGUUACCUUUUUAAAAUUUAAAACUAAAGUAAUUUAACCAUAUUACAGAAUGUUUGAAAAAAAAUUACUCAUAAUCCCACUACCAAACAUAGUUGAUAAUUUUGACAUAUUUCCUGUUAUUUUUUCCCAAUGAAUAGUUUUGAUAAGGUUAUAAUCACAACUUAUAAGCAGCGCCCUUUUCCACAUUAUUUUAAAAUUCUUUAUUUAUUUACUUUUAUGAUCUCACUCCAGAAAGGAUUAAAAGCAGCCUAUAAAAUUACAUAAAUUCAGUAAAAGGGAAGCUAGGCAUCAGCAGGGGUCUUCUAUUCCUCAGGGAUUUAUGUAAACAUACAUCAAAUACUUGAACAUGUGGCAAAUGAGAAUCCAGAGCCCUUCUAAGAUUUUGAGAAUAUCUGACUUCUUCAUGUGUUUUUCUUAACUCCUUUGUCUGCCUAACAGUGAAAACUGGCUACCCAAGUCUUGCCCAUAUCAAUCCGGGUGAUAAGCACAGUACUUUUACUAGUUGCCACACAUUCACACACUCAAAACCUACGAAAUACACUAAAGAAAAAAAAUAAAACCCACUUUAACUAGACAUUUUGUGACUCUGCUCACUUCACUAAAGAUUUGGAGUUCCCAUCUUUCUGUCUCCCUCUUCCUUCCCCAUUUGCUGUUGUAACAGACAAAUUCUUCCCCUCCCCUACUGCAGCAUCAGUUCCACCUAAUUUCAGGCCCUUCAGACUGAGCUUUUGCCCCAAAGCAGCUUAUUUCACCAUUCAUUUCCUCAAUAUGGGCAGGUUUUGCCCUACAAGGAAUGCUGUCUUUUUAAACAUUGAGAAAAGAAAAAUAUUUUUGGAUCUCCACAUUAAAAUAAGAGAGUGAUGGAAAAUGAGAGAGUAUGAUGCCAAAAGAGAGGCUGGUCACAAAGUAUAGGUCAAGCAGUUUCUGAAUUUGAAAAGUUGUGAGGGAGGGCAGAGGAAGGAUUGAAAUCAAGCAACAUGACAAAGAAGUAUCUGAAUAACUUAGCAGCUGGUGGGACCUGUGGAACCGAAGAGAUGGGGAAGUAAAGUUACACCAGAAUUAUGAAUCAGGGAUAUUUAGGAAAGUAGCCCCAUCAUGGGAUGGAAUAAGAAACUUAGGAAGGAGAGUCACUUUGGAGGGGAUGAUGGCGCAUUUACCUUCUCAGGUAAGGAUCCUGCAGAAUGUGUUUGUAAUUGGAGUGUGGAUGAAUGGGACCUUAGGAAGGAUAUUGAGACUGAUCUGACUCCUGGCUGCCUAUGAACAUCUGAGGGGGACUACAGAAUGACACUGUAACUAUAAAAACCAGUCCAAAGAGAAGGGAGAUUUGUAAUAGGGUGCAGGGCAGGAUGAAGUAAAACAAUUUUCUGGGUAAGCAUCAGGUGAUGGAGUGAUGUGGGGGAGAUGGAUUAGUGGAGCAAGUGAAAGACUGUGACUUCUAGAGUGUCCACAAUUAGGGCUUUUCUUUUCUGUUAUUUUGCCUGUCUGAGUGUUGGUAUUAUUUUGUGAAAGGGGGAGGCAUCAUGCUGGGGAUGAAAAAUGAUUUUCUGGUACUUGCUGCGGCUAACUCUGUUACCAUAGCAACUGACUUAAUCAGCCAGGAGGGAGGAUUUUACUAGAGACAGUCUAUACUGGACUGUUGUGAUUUCAAAGGGAAAUAUUUACAACUCUGUCAGUAUAGCUGUUCCAGUUUAGAUUGUGACAGCAUGGCAGGUUAAACUCUAUUUCAAAGAUUUCUAAAGAGUUUAAUCAUUAUUGACCCAAAUUAACCCUCUUUUUGACCAGUUACCAAAAGCAAAACCUUGCAGUAUGUACAGCCCAUGGUGGUUGGGGUUAGUUUGUCUUUUUUUUUUUUCGCUCUGUUGAUAGUGAAAUUGGUUUGUCCACUUUGGGGUUUAAACCAAACCAAAAUACUAAAAUUAUUGUAUGAGACCGAUGCGGGGAGCUAUGGACAGUUUUUGUCUUAUCUCAUUCAGAACUAAGAGGGUCUCCUUAUUCCCCCCCACAAAAAGCCUCUCCAUCAAGCAUUGAUGAGAAAUAGAUAUUUCACUGGAGGCUUGGUGGGAGGAGUUGGUUUAUUUCACAGAGCUCGGAGCCUUUUACCUCCUCCCCAUGUGAAGACAAUAUAUUAUCUUGUCUUUCAUUACAGCAGGGGGCUGAGUCUCUGCUUCACUUCCAUCUCCUUUCUCCAGCCUUUCCUCCUUCUAUAUCUCCAUUUUUAGAUAGAACUAUAGGAUGUGGUACAGACUCCUCCAACUGGGGCUCCCCACAUUCAUUUCUUAAAACCGUCUAUAAAAGACAGCCAGUUAGUGACUUCAUUUGUUCAUGGCAAAUCAAAUCUUUCAUUUACUAGAAUCUUCCUUCCUUAGAUAAUACAGAGUAAUUAUAAAUAAAAGUGUUUUCUCUGUGUACUUGCUGUUAAAAAUAUAUAUAUAAGUUCUUUUAGGCUUCUGCAUGCCUUUGGUUUGAAAGCCAGAUUUUCCUGACUUUUGAAGUGAAGCACCUCUCUAGAUUCUGGCAAUUACAAAAUCUGGAUAUACCAUUUUGCACCAAAAGUGUAAAGAAUAAGUGUACAGGUCUGAGCUUUCAGCCUCAGAUUUUCUCUCCUCUAUUAAGAUUGACUCUGACCUUAGCUAAGUGUAACACUAAUUAUUACAGGAUUUAAAUUAUUGUUUUACUUCUCCCUUCAUCCCCCAGUGGUAUUUCCCAUUUUGAAAGAUGAUUUUGUUAAUUAAUCUUAAAUGGUGAAACAUUUGUGUGUGAAGAGAGAUUUGAAAGGGGCGAUAUUGAGAACUCUUGCACAUUCCCAGCUCCAUUUCUGGAAUCAGUACUACUCCACUCCCAAACAUAGUUCAUCAGAGAAUUACACAGAAUCAGCUUAGAAACACUCAUCACUGAACUUUUCAAAACUUUCUCCCAAACUUUCACCUAAAACUAAAGAUCUCUCAUCCAUUAUUUAUUCAUCUGUGUAUUUGUUGAGACAUUGUUACAGACUUUGGACAUCAUGGAUAUACGUUAUGGGCAUUGUUCAUUUUAUACUUGAAUUUGCUUCUGGCAGAGUUACCAUUUUAUUAUACUUACAUGAAAACAAUACACUCAGAAUCUGAGGUUCUUUGGAUUAACAAAAAAGCAUGACCCUUUUCUUUUUUGAGAAAGUUUAUGACUACCUCAAGAUUUUAAAAAUAUAUUUGGAAUGUUAGAAAUUUUCCCUCUCAGUUUUUUUGAGCUAUUACUGACAUACAAAAAGCUAUACACAUUUAAUAUAUACAACUUGAUGAAUUUGGAUAUAAGCCUAUGCCCAUGACUACAAUCUAUGCCAUCAAUCUAUACCUUACCCCCAAAAGUGUCCUCCCGUUAUUUUUAUUUAUAAUUAUUUGUGUGUGUGACAUGAACACUUAACAUAAGAUCUAGUCUUUUAGCAAAUUUUUAAGUAUAAAAUACAGUAUUAUUAACUACUGGCACAGUGCUGGAUAGUAGAUCUCUAGGAUUUCAUCUUAUAUAAACAAAACUUUGUACCCUUUAACCAAUACCUCCCUGUUUCCCCUCCUCUCUCAGCGACUAACAACCACCAUUCUUGGAUCCAGUGCCUUGAUCUUGGACUUCCCAUCCUCCUGAACUGUGAAAAAUAAAUUUCUAUUGUUUACAAAUUGCCCAGACCAUGAUAUUUUAUUAUAGGAGCACAAAUGGACUAAGACAACACAAAAGCAACCUAAUGUCCAUUGACAGAUGAGUGAAUAAAGAGCUCUGCUUCUAUGAGUUUUACUAUUUUAGAUUCAUCAGCUAGUGAUAUGAUGUAGUAUUUGGCCUUCUGUAUCUGCCUUAUUUCACUUAACAUGAUGUCCUUCAGGUUCAUUCAUGUUUUCAUAAAUCAUAGGAUUUUCUUAUUUUUUAAGCCUGAAUAAUAUUUCAUUGUAUAUGUAUAUCACAUUUUCUUUACCCAUUUAUCUGUCAAUGGACAUUUAGGUUACUUCCAUGUUUUCUUAGUCCAUUUUUGCUGCUAUAAUAAAAUGCCACAAGUCCAAGAUCAAGACAUUGGUGAUGGCUGCUCUCUGCUUCCAAGAUGGUGCCUUGUUGCUGCAUCCUCCAGAGGGAAUGAAUGCUGUGUCUUUACAUGAUGAAAAGGACAUGAGGGCAAAGGAGAGGAAAACUGCUCCCUAGCACCUCUUUUAUCAAGUCAUUAAUCCCAUUUGUGAGAGCUCUGCCCUCUUGACUUCUUAAUCACCUCUUAAAGGCCUCACCUCUUUUUUUCUUUUUUUUUUUUUGAGAUGAAGUCUCACUCUGUCGCCCAGGCUGGAGUGCAGUGGCAUGGUCUUGGCUCACUGUAAGCUCCACCUCCCGGGUUCACACCAUUCUCCUGCCUCAGCCUCCCGAGUAGCUGGGACUAUAGGCGACUAUCACAUUGGCGAUUACAUUUCAACAUACAAAUUUUAAACACUGAAACUAUAGCAUGUGGCUUGGCUAUUGUGAAUAAUGUUAUAAUGAACAUGGGUCUGCAGGUAUCUCUUUAACACCUAUAGUGUCUUUUAAUUUUAAUUGUCUGGACUAAAGUAUUUUAGGAGCCCUUAUAUUUAUUUCCCUUCUAAAUGCAGAUAUGGUGCUAGAAAUAAAGCUACAAAAAUAACACAGAUCAAGACCCAAGCUCUCUUUACAAGAAACUUACACCAAAGUAGGGGAGACAGAUAAGUAAAUAACCAUCUUGAUGCAGUGUAAGAGGGGCAAUGACAGCAGUAACCCCAGAAUGUUAAGGGAAACAUGCAAGGGUGACUACCUGGCCUGGAAAGGUGGGAGGGAAUCAGGAAGUUUUCUUAGGGGAGUUAACACUAGUGUAAAAGUUCCCAGAUGACUUUGCCUGGUCAGGUAAGGGUAGGAAUGUAUAAGUGUGAUCCAGACUAAAGAAACAGCAAUAGGACAAAGAAAAUGUUAAUUGGCAGAUGGAACCAUGAUAUAAAUAAAUGAAACUUACUGAGAACCUAUUAAUGUGCCAGGUACUGUGUGCUACCAAUUUCUAUGUUAUUCGUAAUUCAAAACUCUGUAGGGCACAUCAUUGUUAUUCCUCUUUUAUAGGUGAGAAAACAAAGGUUUGGCAAGGAUGAGUACUUGCUGCAGGUCCAACAGUUAUGACUGGACUGGAACUUCAUCCCAGCUUGGCCUAACUUCAGAGGAGUUUCAUUCAACUUAUAUAGAUUCGAUGUGAAAUGGGAAUGCAAGAAGGCAUAGAUAUUUCUGGUUGAUUCAAUUUCCUGAUAAUUCCCAAUUACAAUAAAAGAAAUGGUUUCAUAAGGA